UACGUAGGGUGCAAGCGUUAUCCGGAAUUAUUGGGCGUAAAGAGCUCGUAGGCGGUCUGUCGCGUCGGCUGUGAAAUCCCGGAGCUCAACUCCGGGCCUGCAGUCGAUACGGGCAGACUGGAGUUCGGCAGGGGAGACUGGAAUUCCUGGUGUAGCGGUGAAAUGCGCAGAUAUCAGGAGGAACACCGGUGGCGAAGGCGGGUCUC
rnacentral:rRNA from 1 species